GACACAUUCAAUGGUGUGACCGAUGGUGUGGCCCAGGGGCUGUUCUGAGACAUUUUAGGUGACUAAUAGCAACGUAUGCAACAGAAAGGUAGUUUUAAAAAAUAACUGAUUUGUAUUUACACAGACAGUUUAAUGACACGUUACUGCUAGUAUUAUUGCUGUGGAUCUCUGUUAUACACUCAGACACAUCAACAAUAUGGAGCUACUUGAAAAAAGGAAGAUAAGGAGAGAAAAAAGAGGAACAGAGAGAUGUGGGUCCAACUUUGGGACUGUUCCUCCUAAAUAGGGACACUUGGCAUAUAUUAUAUUGUAUUGUGAUUUUCUUCUACUCUUUCCUUUGUUAGACAAUCUAAAAAAUAUGUAAAUAAUGUAAUUCUUUAUUAAUAUUAAAACAACUUUUGCAUCA